GGGCUCCUGGUGACUGAAAGAUGCGCUCUUAUAAGGAUUGAGCCUCGGCUCAGUCUAGUGGCAGACGGGUGCAUAACGCGUAAGCAACCUGCCCUCCACUGGGGGAUAGCCCGGCGAAAGCGGGGGUAACCCCCCACGGUCCAGUUUGAUCACCUGGUCAGCCUGGUAAACAUUGAUGGGUGGAGGAGGGGCUUGCGUCUGAUUAGGUAGUUGGCAGGGUAAGAGCCUACCAAGCCGAUGAUCAGUAGGGGUUCUGAGAGGAUUGGCCCCCACAUGGGUACUGAGAGACGGACCCAACUCCUACGGGAGGCAGCAGUAGGGAAUAUUGGGCAAUGGGCGCAAGCCUGACCCAGCCAUGCCGCGUGCCGGAUGAAGGCGCUCAGCGUUGUAAACGGCUUUUAUCUGGGAAGAACGGCAGGAUUGCGAUCUUGUAUGACGGUACCAGAGGAAUCAGCACCGGCUAACUCCGUGCCAGCAGCCGCGGUAAUACGGAGGGUGCGAGCGUUGUCCGGAUUUAUUGGGUUUAAAGGGUGCGUAGGUGGCCUCUUAAGUCUGGUUUGAAAGCCGGUGGCUCAACCAUCGGAUGUGGCUGGAAACUGGGGGGCUUGAAUGAUUUGGCGGUAGCCGGAACGGGUCAUGUAGCGGUGAAA
rnacentral:rRNA from 1 species